rnacentral:rRNA from 1 species
UACGAAGGGGGCUAGCGUUGCUCGGAAUCACUGGGCGUAAAGGGUGCGUAGGCGGGUCUUUAAGUCAGGGGUGAAAUCCUGGAGCUCAACUCCAGAACUGCCUUUGAUACUGAGAGUCUCGAGUCCGAGAGAGGUGAGUGGAACUGCGAGUGUAGAGGUGAAAUUCGUAGAUAUUCGCAAAGAACACCAGUGGCGAAGGCGGCUCACUGGCUCGGUACUGACGCUGAGGUGCGAAAGCGUGGGGAGCAAACAGG